GAUGAACGCUGACAGCAUGCUUAACACAUGCAAGUCGACCUGUUGCGGACGGGUGAGUAACGCGCAAAGAACUUGCCUCUCAGUUAGGGACAACAUUUGGAAACGAAUGCUAAUACCUGAAACUGUGGGGGGGCUUUGCGUCCCAUUAGCUCGUUGGGGAGGUUACGGCUCACGAAGGCGAGGAUGGGCAGCCGGCCUGAGAGGGUGAUGCGCCACAGGGGGACUGAGACACCGCCAGUACUGCAUCGUGAGGAAUCAGUGGGGAAUAGUUAAAAAUAGACCAAAGUCUGAUCCAGGAAUUCUGGGUGUAAGAUGAAGUUUUCGGAAUGUAAAUUGCUUGCAGUUGGGGAUCGGUACCAACAGAAGAAGCGACGGCUAAAUACGUGCCAGCAGCCGCGGUAAUUC
rnacentral:rRNA from 1 species